GACGAACGCUGGCGGCGUGCCUAAUACAUGCAAGUCGAACGCUUUUUCUUUCACCGGAGCUUGCUCCACCGAAAGAAAAAGAGUGGCGAACGGGUGAGUAACACGUGGGUAACCUGCCCAUCAGAAGGGGAUAACACUUGGAAACAGGUGCUAAUACCGUAUAACACUAUUUUCCGCAUGGAAGAAAGUUGAAAGGCGCUUUUGCGUCACUGAUGGAUGGACCCGCGGUGCAUUAGCUAGUUGGUGAGGUAACGGCUCACCAAGGCAACGAUGCAUAGCCGACCUGAGAGGGUGAUCGGCCACACUGGGACUGAGACACGGCCCAGACUCCUACGGGAGGCAGCAGUAGGGAAUCUUCGGCAAUGGACGAAAGUCUGACCGAGCAACGCCGCGUGAGUGAAGAAGGUUUUCGGAUCGUAAAACUCUGCUGUUAGAGAAGAACAAGGAUGAGAGUAGAACGUUCAUCCCUUGACGGUAUCUAACCAGAAAGCCACGGCUAACUACGUGCCAGCCGCCGCGGUAA
rnacentral:rRNA from 1 species